rnacentral:rRNA from 1 species
AUGAAGGUGUCCACCAAGGAGCAGCAGCAGCAGCAGAGGGCGGCGGCGGAGGAGGAGGCCAUGGACUUGAGCGCCGGCGGGCCGGGGGAGGAGGAGGAGGAGGCGGCGCGCCCCUCCGGCGCCGGCGAGGGGGGCACGGUGGUGGUGGGCGUGCGGGCGGACGCCGAGAGCCGGGCGCUGCUCACGUGGGCCUUCGUCAAUGCCGUCGCCGCCGGGGACCGGGUCGUGGCCGUCCACGUCGUGCUCGCCUCCGCGGCCGAGGCCGCCGCCGCCGUGGACUUCGACGGCAUGCUCGCCGUCUACGAGGGAUUCUGCAAUCUCAAGCGGAUCAAUCUGAAGGUGAAGAUUUGCAAGGGCUCGUCGGUCCGCAAGGCGCUGGUUCGCGAGGCCACCCUGUUCGGGGCCUCCAAGCUUGUCCUGGGCAUCACCAAGAGGAAGCGCACCAUCGGGUCCUCGCUGUCGGUUGCCAAGUACUGCGCGAAGAAGCUGCCGGCAAAGUGCGCGGUGCUCGCCGUCAAUGGCGGCAAGAUCGUCUACCGUAGAGAAUCGAAUGCUCACUCCGGCAAGGUGUCGGCGGAUGUUCCUGGCUGUGGUGAUGAUGAGAUGUACUGUGUGCUGCCGUUCGGUGCCAGUCAGCAGGGUAAAGAAGAGAGCGAGUUGCCUUGUGAUGAACCGAGCAAAGAUGGCGACGCCGCCGACGAAGAACAGCAUGAUGUUGGUGCAAAGGGCAGUCAGCCAGAGGAAGAACAUCAGCCAUCGAGUGUGAAACCUGCUGAGAUGUCCACGGCGGAACAGGUUCAGACUGAAGCAGAUCCUUCUGACAGGAACAAAGAGUCAACAAUGGACCAGAAAGAUGUGGUCGCCGAUCUACCAGGCGAGGGUGCCAGUGUGCUGUACUGUGUGUUGCCGGAAAGGAGUGACCAUUCAGUUGCAAGUACUUCGAGUCGGCAAGAAAUUGACUCGACUGAGCCACCAGCCGAAGGGGAUGGCGAUCUGUUUUGCUUAUUGCCCCCGAGGAAUGGAAAUUCAGGCAGGAGCAGCAAUGAUUCUAAGCGUUCGAGUUCAGGCCACAAAGAUGAUGGGGAUCUGUUCUGCCGGCUGUCAAAGAAUGGUGGACAUUCAGGUGGGAGUUCUGGGGGAUCCAAGCGCUCUGUUGGUGUAAGAAGUGUGUUUAGGGCCAUCAGGCGGAGCAGUAGUUUCUCCAGUGAUAUUCCAUUGAGCUUUGAAACAUCUGCUGAUAAGAGAGAUGGCUCGGUUUCCAUGGGUGCCACCGAACGUUCUUCUUCCGCAGUAUCUACAGAACCUGAGGAUUUGCAAAAGGAAACCCCUACUAGUUCUCCAAUGUCUCUGAGAAGGCUGAUCGAAGGAAGGUCUGACCGCUGCCGCCUGCGAAGGAGAAUCUUCCACCAUGAAAGAACCUCAUCUUUUGAGUGGGCCAAAGUGUCCAUGGUUCAAUGGGCGAUGAGGCUCCCAAGCCGUUACAGUUCUGUGCACCCGGACAACAAAUCCUUGAAAUCUGAUACAAGUCCGAGGUUGCGUGGUGAUUCAGAAUGUGAUUCCACUUCCACUGCUGAGCCAGAAUCUAUAUUUUCUUUCUCUUUGUAUGAUGUGGCAUGGCCUCCCAGUGAACUGGGAUCUCUUCAAGAAGAGUAUUCUUCAGUAUGUAGGCUGUUUAGUUAUGAGGAGCUGAAACUUGCUACAUCAAACUUCUCACCAGAUAUGUUGAUUGGGAAGGGAGGAACUAGCCACGUUUACAAGGCACAAUUAAAUGAUGGCACCUUGUAUGCUGCAAAGAUUCUGAAACCUUCAGUUGAUGCACUUCAGGAGUUUAUUACGGAAAUUGAGACUGUAACCAGCUUGCAAAAUGAGAAUAUUGUCUCACUAAGGGGAUUCAGCUUUGAUAACUACUUCCUUGUGUUGGUGUACGAUUACAUGCACCAGGGAAGCUUAGACAAAGCGCUUCAUGGCAAGUGUGAGCAUAGCCUUAGCUGGGAAAAGAGAAAUAAGAUAGCAAUUCACAUUGCAAAGGCGCUUGAAUUUUUGCAUCAUGGUGGUGUCACCGAGUCUGUGAUUCACGGAGAUGUUAAAUCUGCAAACAUCCUCCUCUCAGAGGAUUUUGAGGCCCAGCUGUGUGAUUUUGGGUUGGCAAAGAAAGUUUCAGCUUCAACCCCUCACCUAACAUGCACUGACAUCACAGGAACUUUUGGGUACAUGGCACCUGAAUAUUUUUCGCACGGGAAGGUGAACAAGAAAAUCGAUGUGUAUGCAUUUGGGGUUGUGCUGCUGGAGAUAAUUUCAGGGAGAAAACCCAUUAUAACAGGAUGUGCGAAGGGCCAGGAAAGCCUGGUUGGAUGGGCAAGGCCACUACUUUCAAGUGGGGAGAUCAAGCAGCUGGUGGAUUCGGCUCUGGGCAACGACUAUGACUGUGACGAGAUGGAGAGGAUGACGCUCGCCGCCUCGCUGUGCACGAGGACGUCUUCUGAUUCCAGACCUGAAAUGCCGCUAGUGCUGAAGCUGCUGGAGGGGGACGAUGAGACAGUCCAAUGGGCGAGGUCGCAGAUGUGCGCAGGCUCGGACGUGUCGGACGAGGAGGCGAUGACCCCGCGCUCAAACAUGCAGUCCCAUCUGAACCUGGCGCUGCUGGGCGUGGAUGAGGAGGAGGACACGCUGUCGCGGUGCAGCACGGAGCGGACCGCCGACACCUCGGCGGACGGCGGGUACUGGAGCCGGUCCUCGAGCUUCGACUAG